GUCGUCAUGGCCGAGUGGUUAAGGCGAUGGAUUUGAAAUCCACUGGGUAUUUCUGUGUAGGUUUGAAUCCUACUGACUACG